GGCAUGUAACUCAGCUGGUUAGAGUACCUCUCUGAUAAGGAGGAAGUCGCUGGUUCAAAUCCAGCCAUGCCC
rnacentral:tRNA from 1 species